rnacentral:SRP_RNA from 1 species
UGGGUAAGUCCUACACGGCUGCUCCCCGCAAAUUCCCCCAGGUCCUGACCGAAGCAAGGGUAGUGGGUCGUAGCGGCGCGAUGUAGUAAGCUUGCCCAU